rnacentral:miRNA from 1 species
UAUGUGUGUGUGUGUGUGUGUGUGUCUACACACACACACACACACAAACACACACA